rnacentral:rRNA from 1 species
GAAUCAUGCGUUUCUGCUUCGGCGUGGACGACAUGAAGACCCUUGCCUAUGCGUACCCGUUCGUUUGUUCCCUCGGCAGCGGUGCCCUGCGGCUUGCAGGGUGUUACCCUGCCGGUGGGUGCCAACUUGAAACCCUUUUUGAACGUUUCUUCUGAAUUCUUUUUGCUUUUUUGGCAAUUAUUUACAACUUUCAACAACGGAUCUCUUGGCUCUGGCAUCGAUGAAGAACGCAGCGAACUGCGAUACGUAGUGUGAAUUGCAGAAUUUAGUGAAUCAUCGAAUCUUUGAACGCACAUUGCGCCCCUUGGUAUUCCAUGGGGCAUGCCUGUUCGAGCGUCAUUUUGAACCAUUCAAGCGUUGCUUGGUGUUGGGCUCUUGUCGUCGCAGCUCCGCGUCGACUUUGCUCCAAAUUCAUUGGCAGGUCACCUCUGCCGGCCUUCCAGCGCAGCACUUGGCGCAUCCGGGCCGUGGCCGAGGAGGGCUUCGUCCACUUCCACAUUUUGCCUUGGUUGACCUCGGAUCAGGUAGGGAUACCCGCUGAACUUAAGCAUAUCAAUAAGCGGAGGAAAAGAAACCAACAGGGAUUGCCCUAGUAACGGCGAGUGAAGCGGCAACAGCUCAAAUUUGAAAUCUGGCCACCUUUUGAGGAGGUCCGAGUUGUAAUUUGCAGAGGGUGCUUUGGCAUUGAAGGUGGUCUAAGUUCCUUGGAACAGGACAUCACAGAGGGUGAGAAUCCCGUACGUGGUCGCCUUUCUCUGCCGUGUAAAGCCCCUUCGACGAGUCGAGUUGUUUGGGAAUGCAGCUCUAAGCGGGAGGUAAAUUUCUUCUAAAGCUAAAUACUGGCCAGAGACCGAUAGCGCACAAGUAGAGUGAUCGAAAGAUGAAAAGCACUUUGGAAAGAGAGUCAAAUAGCACGUGAAAUUGUUGAAAGGGAAGCGCUUGCCGCCAGACUUGCCUGCGGUUGCUCACCUAGGCACAGCCCUAGGGCACUCUUCCGUAGGCAGGCCAGCAUCAGUUUGGGCAGCCGGAUAAAGACCUCUGUCACGUAUCUUCCUCCGGGAUGACCUUAUAGGGGAGGUGCAAUGCGGUUAGCCUGG